GCGGUGGGGGAGAGCCGGAGUGCGCAGACGGGAAGAGUCCACGUCUACAGGUUAGAAGGGGAAGAUGGUAUCCUGAAGCUAAUCGGUCCUUCCCCUCACAAGGUAUCUCCAUAACCUUCGGACCUUUCCCCACAUAAAUGUCCUUAAUGAUGAAUAUCUCCUUGAAACUGAUGUUUAAUUGACAGUAAGGGUGAGUUACACAAAUAUGUUUGUUUCCGCUCCCCCCACUUCCGCUGCGUGCGCCAGGCCGCGAGGGGCAGGAGAAGGAAGCGGAAGUGUUGGCGGCCGGGGGUGGGGCAGGCCACCUGGUCAAUCGGUGGUCUGAGCCCUCGUCCCUUGCCAUGGAGGGCUGCAGCGAGCCGCGACUGGAUGCUAAGUCCGAGGUCACCAACCAGUCAUCUAACAAGAUUAUUCAACGCCUUUAUGAGGAAAAUGGCAGUGAGUGCUAGAUGUCCGGUUUCCAGUCUGGCAUAUAAGGAGCUUGGAAUGUGGAAGACAUCACUUCAUCAUAAAAACAAGGAAAAAGCUGAACAAACUGAAGAGCUAACAACUCUUGGAUCCAUCAGAGAAGUGAGGUUCCAAGGCAAACUGCUCCCUUCAAAUUGGAGAGAUAGAGGUGAAUACGGAGAAUUACAAGUCACCAGAAUAGAAAUCUGUGGAAACCAGUGCCAGGCUUGUAGAUUUUCAGUGGAAGCUGGGUAUGGCUGUGAGCUCGGACAGUUGCAGAUCUCUUAAGUAUCCUUAUGUUGCGGUGUUGCUGAAAGUGGCAGAUCAUUCUGGCCAAGUAAAGAACAAGUCCUUUGAAAUGACAAUUCCACAAUUUCAGAAUUUCUACAGACAGUUCAAGGAAAUUGCUGCAGUUAUAGAAACUGUGUGAAAACUGAUUACUUGGCUGAUAAAUUACUACCGUCAU